rfam:Trachymyrmex zeteki contig11365, whole genome shotgun sequence.
AAAACGGCCCUUUUCAGGGCCCCCUGUAUAUAUAUAUAAACGUGU